UUAACAUACAAAGAUGUUGAACCGAUAGUGAACGACAUGAAUCAAUGUUAAAACACAAAUGUUNGUGUCAACUUAAAAUAAGAAUAAUCAGUGAUAUAGUGCGAAUUGCGAUUAAUGGAAAAGAACCGGAAAGAUAUAAGAUGAUAAAGGUAUUCUUUCGCGUUUUGAUUUAUAAAAUAUUCUGAAAGUAGCGCUACCAAUCAGAAAUGAUAUCGAGUAAUUCGAGACCGACUUCGAGGAACAGAUUGCAAAUGAAGUAUUUACAAAUGGAAAAAGAGAAAAAGAAUGAAGAUCCUGCAGAUGAAGGCUUACAAGAAAAUACGCAAAUGAAUAAUAAAAUGGAUAUUGAGGAUACAACAAAUGAAUCUGGAACAAACUCUUAAACUUGGAAAUUGCAGUGGAACAAUUAUCCUCUUUUUCUGAAAAAUAAAAGAAAGAUUUAUAUUUGUACAUAACCUCGUAAAAACACGCAAAAGAACUUAACAUAUUUUA